rnacentral:rRNA from 1 species
AACGAACGCUGGCGGCAUGCCUAACACAUGCAAGUCGAACGAAACCUUCGGGUCUAGUGGCGCACGGGUGCGUAACGCGUGGGAACCUGCCCUUAGGUUCGGAAUAACUCCCCGAAAGGGGUGCUAAUACCGGAUAAUGUCUUCGGACCAAAGAUUUAUCGCCUUUGGAUGGGCCCGCGUUGGAUUAGCUAGUUGGUAGGGUAAUAGCCUACCACGGCGACGAUCAAUAGCUGGUCUGAGAGGAUGAUCAGCCACACUGGGACUGAGACACGGCCCAGACUCCUACGGGAGGCAGCAGUGGGGAAUAGUGCACAAUGGGCGAAAGCCUGAUGCAGCAAUGACGCGUGAAUGAUGAAGGUCUUAGGGUUGUAAAGUUCUUUUACCCGGGAUGAUAAUGACAGUACCGGGAGAAUAAGCUACGGCUAACUCCGUG